rnacentral:rRNA from 1 species
ACAGCAGUCGCCACGGUAAUACGUAGGGCGCAAGCGUUAUCCGGAAUUAUUGGGCGUAAAGAGCUCGUAGGCGGUUUGUCGCGUCUGCCGUGAAAGUCCGGGGCUCAACCCCGGAUCUGCGGUGGGUACGGGCAGACUAGAGUGAUGUAGGGGAGACUGGAAUUCCUGGUGUAGCGGUGAAAUGCGCAGAUAUCAGGAGGAACACCGAUGGCGAAGGCAGGUCUCUGGGCAUUAACUGACGCUGAGGAGCGAAAGCAUGGGGAGCGAACAGGAUUAGAUACCCGCGUAGUCCCUGUCUCUUAUAA